CGGACACCUUAAUCUUGCUUUUAGGAAAGUUUGGUUUGUUAUCAUGCAUCAUCAUAUUAUUUUGUCAAAGAAAUCUCAUAUUGCUAUACUGAUUGCUUAUUGUUUUUUGGAAAGUGGCUGUUUGGUGUUCAGAAGUGCCCAAUUUCCUAUCCUUCAGGAUUUGGGACUUAGGUGCUUAUAAAAAAGUCUUCAAGCGAAAUAAGUUGGAUUGGCUUUGGUUCAAUCCAAGACUGAUAUGUGUCCGAAUUGGAUGAAAAAUUUGAAUCCAAUCUUUAUCCAUUUCCAUUUGAUUGGGUUUGGAUUGUCUUAAAAUUCAUGCUAGUAAUUUUUUGGGCUUUUCAGGUUGAUUCAGGUUUAAGAUAACCCAAACAGGAAUAGUCUGAACAUAGAUAUGGACAGCUUUAGUUAUAACCUAAACAAGUAAUGAAGAAAUUACAAAUUAUAAGAUAUAGCCUUAUCAACAUCCCAUUCCAUGUAUCUCGAUUAAUAAAGACAUAGAAGUUGUCGUUGGAAAGCAAAUCGAUUUGUAACUACAUAGAAGUUAUCAGUAACAGUGUAUUAGUUUCUUGAAUGCAAGGCAUGUCAGCAUUGGGUGGGGAAAGCAUAUUGUUUUAGCUUUUGGUUGGUUAGGAUUCAAGUUAGGUUAUAUAUGAUUCACAUGUCCAAUCCAUGAUUGAAAUGGGUAGAAAUUUUUGAUUCAAAACCCUAGCAAACUGACUUUGGUUUUGAUGUAGCUUUUCAUUCUUGGAUUGAUUUUGAAUCCAAAACAGGUGAAUCAAUCCACUUGGCCUUACUCAUGUCUUCAACAAGUUGUAUACUGUUGUGCAGACUGAAUCAUGUUCAAUACAUGCAAGUGAUUUCAGGAUUGGGAGCAUGCUAUGAAGAGAGGAGGGAGCGGGAGGCAAGGCGAUAGUUUUGGGGUAAAACGGUCUGCUGCCUGCUCGAGGUCUUUUUUCUGAUCCUGUUGAGAGCAGGCCCCAUGACCUGAUGUCUCUCUUCUGCUCUCCCACUCCCUUCUUCCCUGGUCCUGGGUUAUCUGGAUCCAGCAGGAAGUACCCAAAUAGGCCUUAAUUUCUUGAAAGAUGUGUCUGUUAUAUGUGCUCAACACUAAUAAUAGAACUGGUAGCUAUAAGAUAUGCUUUAGUUGAUAAGGGGAUAGAAGCAUUGGAAGCUGGUGCGUGGGCUACUAAUUCAGUGGUCGUGAUAGCCGAGAGUAGAUUUUUUAGCUACUAAGGUCUUAGAUUUUGUAGAUACUAAGGUCAAACUAUUUAUUAUCUCAAGUAUUUCAUUGUUUGCAUCUCAUUUUUCCGUUGGUGAAAUUUUAAAGACUUCACAAACAAUUUCAUGAUA